UACGGGGGGAGCAAGCGUUGUUCGGAUUUACUGGGCGUAAAGGGCGCGUAGGCGGCCACCGCAAGUCGAUUGUGAAAUCUCCGGGCUUAACCCGGAAAGGUCAACCGAGGAACGUCGAUCGAUACUGCUGUUCUUGAGGAUUGCAGAGGAGACUGGAAUUCCCGGUGUAGCGGUGAAAUGUGUAGAGAUCGGGAGGAACACCGGUGGCGAAGGCGGGUCUCUGGGCAAUUCCUGACGCUGAGGCGCGAAAGCGUGGGGAGCAAACGGG
rnacentral:rRNA from 1 species